CCUACGGGAGGCAGCAGUGGGGAAUUUUCCGCAAUGGGCGAAAGCCUGACGGAGCAACGCCGCGUGAGGGAUGAAGGCCUCUGGGCUGUAAACCUCUUUUAUCAAGGAAGAAGAUCUGACGGUACUUGAUGAAUAAGCCACGGCUAAUUCCGUGCCAGCAGCCGCGGUAAUACGGGAGUGGCAAGCGUUAUCCGGAAUUAUUGGGCGUAAAGCGUCCGCAGGCGGUCUUGUAAGUCUGUCGUUAAAGCGUGGAGCUUAACUCCAUUUCGGCGGUGGAAACUACAAGACUAGAGUGUGGUAGGGGCAGAGGGAAUUCCCGGUGUAGCGGUGAAAUGCGUAGAUAUCGGGAAGAACACCAGUGGCGAAGGCGCUCUGCUGGGCCAUAACUGACGCUCAUGGACGAAAGCUAGGGGAGCGAAAGGGAUUAGAUACCCCUGUAGUCCUAGCCGUAAACGAUGAACACUAGGUGUCGGGGGAAUCGACCCCCUCGGUGUCGUAGCUAACGCGUUAAGUGUUCCGCCUGGGGAGUACGCACGCAGNGUGAACUACAAGAAGUUAGACGGCGUGAGACGUGCCGAACGGACGACGACGAGGGAGGUAGG
rnacentral:rRNA from 1 species